CGAGACAUAUAUUCCCAAGGAUCGCCAGUAUUACGAAGACAACUGUACGGAGAAAUUUGGUAUCGGUCCAAGGGUAGAGAAGAAAAGGGUACUGCUGAUAUAGUUGCACAGGUAUUUUUAAUUAGUUGAUUUACGUUAAUAGACGCCGGAAGUUUGCACAAAUAGCUAUGCAAUAAAUCAGCACCAGAAUUAUCCCAUAAAAGCUCAAUAAUGGAAGUACGGUUAUCAAGCACAACCUGAGCACACGUGUACACGACGGUAAGAGGAUGAGAAGAGAUGAAGAAGUCAAAUAACCUGCAUACCACCGAAAUGUCUGAAACAUCGUGUGCAAACCAAGUGAUUAACCAUGAAAGAGCAAAAUAACACUGGAUAUCUGCCUUUAUUAAAUACUCAUAAAGAGUGGGAUCGCGAGCCUUGAUAACUGCUAAAAUUAGCUGCAAUUGUUUCACCGUGCCAUCAAGGGUAGGAAGCAUAAAGUCCCGAAGACGGUAAAAUACUAGAUGCUCCAUUAAAGGGAGAGCAUGAGAGAAAGGAAGGGUAAGAAGCAAGAUCUGGGCAAUAUCAUGAAGACCUUGAUAGUAGCAUAGUUCCGGAUAAUGCUUAAAGACUACACUGAGCAGCUUGGUCAAUUGAGAACGGUGUUUACGAAGUAGAAAUGGAUUCAACUUGUACUGAAAGAAUGAUCGUUCCGAAUCCAAAUGAACCUGAUUCUGGUCGGCAUAAGAAGACUGAGAAGUAGAUCUCGAAAGACACUCCAUUCGAUGUCGACACGAUAAACCACAAAGACUGACCCAUACAGACUUGCGCAGACUCUU